rnacentral:rRNA from 1 species
UACGUAGGGGGCGAGCGUUGUCCGGAAUUAUUGGGCGUAAAGGGCUCGUAGGCGGUUUGUCGCGUCGGGAGUGAAAACCCAGGGCUUAACUCUGGGCUGGCGUUCGAUACGGGCAGACUAGAGGCAUGCAGGGGAGAGCGGAAUUCCUGGUGUAGCGGUGAAAUGCGCAGAUAUCAGGAGGAACACCAAUGGCGAAGGCAGCUCGCUGGGACGUUACUGACGCUGAGACGCGAAAGCGUGGGGAGCAAACAGG